UGGCCCUCGGCACCGUUAAAUCGUCCCUCCUCUUCCCCCUACAAGUGCGUGGAACACGGAGGGGUUGGUACGUCGGAAGGUUUAUUUACAUGCGCAUCGCUAUCUUCAUCCUGUUGUUUGUCUGCUGGCGGCAAGGAGCUAUCACCACCUCUCCAAGUUUCCCUGCAUUUAUUUACAAGCAAGUAAUAUGGAGGUGACAAUUGAUGAAAGUUUUACGAGAACCAGCCCCAUUUCCUCUGCGGAGAAGCAGAUGUUGAUUGGGUUGAUAACCCAAGAACCCAUCUUGAAAAAAAGAAAAACAGAUGGGAAACUACUUGAGCAAAAGAGACGAGCGUGGGCACGCGUUACCCAACAUUUCAAUGCCCAUAACAUGGGUCCCAAGAGGACGGAGGGACAGCUCAGAAAAAUUUGGGAAAAAAUAAGAGGGCAAAUCAAGAGGACGCACGCCAAAAGCGUGAGAUGUUCAGGACAGGUGGUGGCACCCCUCCCAAGGUACUCACACCUGAGACGGAGCAGGUCCUCUCCAUUCUUGGGACCGAUAUCCAGGAUAUUGGCAACCCCUAUGAUCAUGAUGCCAUGUCAUCUCAGGGUAAGUGACCAUUGUCAGUUUUGAUUACCAUGUUUGUUAAUUAUAUUUGUCAGUAAAAAUGCAGGAACUUGUGAAAUCUUAAAUUCUUCAGUCAUGCAAUAACGGAAAGUACCCAAGAAUAAUCAACAAGUUUACAGUAGUAUUAAACA